UUUUAACGGCUGCGGUAUUUUGACCGUGCUAAGGUAGCAUAAUCAAUUGUUUUUUAAUUGAAAACUAGUAUGAACGGUUUAAUUUACUUAAUUAGUUUGUAAUUUUUAAUAGUAAGUUAAAUAUAAAGUAAGAAUUCUUUAAUAAAUUAGGGGACGAUAAGACCCUAAAAGCUUUAUGAUUGGCAUUUAAUUAGUGAUAGCGGUGUUAUUAAUUCACUGGGGCAGUGAGUUUAGGUAUAUUUAAGUAUAAUUAAAAGCUCCUUUAAAUAAAGAUUUCAUGUAUAAGUUACUUUAGGGAUAACAGUGCAAUAUAUU
rnacentral:rRNA from 1 species